UACAGAGGUCCCAAGCGUUGUUCGGAUUCACUGGGCGUAAAGGGUGCGUAGGUGGCGAGGUAAGUCCGAUGUGAAAUCUCCGAGCUUAACUCGGAAAUGGCAUUGGAUACUAUCUCGCUAGAGGGUUGGAGGGGAGACUGGAAUUCUCGGUGUAGCAGUGAAAUGCGUAGAUAUCGAGAGGAACGCCGGUGGCGAAAGCGAGUCUCUGGACAACUCCUGACACUGAGGCACGAAAGCUAGGGGAGCAAACAGG
rnacentral:rRNA from 1 species